GGGCGCAUGGUGUAGUUGGUUAUCACAUCCGCUUAGCAUCGAGUUCCGUUGUUUGCGGGGGGUGCUGGGUUCAAUUCCCAGUGCGUCCA